rnacentral:lncRNA from 1 species
GCGAGGUGGAGGGGGAGAGCACGUUUACCAAGCUCCGGGUGGUUCUCUUGUGAAAUUUGCAGCUGGCCCUCUGGACUUUGGCCUGAGCCCUCACCUGUCUCGCUAAGCCUGCGUGGCACUCGAGCAACCUCCUUUAUUUAUUUUUAAAUAAAACGACAGGAGAGAUUGUUCAGCGUUAUUUUUGUUUUAACGGUGGCAGCGAUGCUCUUUCCAGCUUUCUGCAUCCUAAGCUGAAACCGAAGUCCUUGCUUCUCGUCUUCAUUGAGAAAACAGGGUACACCUCUGCGUGGGUGGCGCUUCCAGGGUCGCGGAGUCUGUGCACUCUCUAGGGGCCAGUGCAACCGGACUGGGGAGUGGCGGAAUGAGAAUAUUUUAAUACCAAUCUGCGGUGGUUCUGCGCUGUUAACGUAUAUGCUAUAUAUAUUUGGAUUUUUGUCGUCAAGAGAUCUCACUUCCAUAUUUGAGGUAAGUCAGCUGUUUCCAUGUUGAGAGAAUAGGAAAACUGUGGCUCAAAGUUGAAGUGAUUUACCCAAGAUCACUCUACAACCUAGAGCAGUGCUUCGCUGCUCCCUCUAUUCUGACAGUAAAAAAAUCAAAUAGCUAAUGUAUAAAGACUUCGAAGUUUUUAAAAUUUUGCCUUUAUUUAAGAGGUAAAAAAGAAAGUGGACCAAAAGGUAAGUGACUUGUUUAGAGUCACAUACUUUAUUAGUGGCAUGCCCAGAGAACUCCUUGCUGUCCCCCCUU